rnacentral:lncRNA from 1 species
GACAAGAAUACAAACAUUAUCAUCGAACAAUAACACAAUGACGGAACAAAUAAGUACAGAGUCACGUAUAAUAGAUACUACCAGAAGUCCAUUAUUGAUAUUUCGAACAAUUUCCAAGAAUUUUAAAAAAAAAAAGGCUUGUUCUAAAACAAAGUAUAUAUUUUAUAAUAACAAAGCAUAUUUAGUUGUGUUUAUUAUUAUUAAGAAGA